rnacentral:lncRNA from 1 species
CUUAUUUAGUGGUGCUGAAGAUCAACUCCAGGGCCUUGUACAUGCUAGAUAAGUACUCUAUUACUGAGCUACAUCCUCAGCACCUCAUAUAUUUUAAAAAUUUCUGAUUUUGGGUAUGUUGGUUAUAUGAUCUUAAGGUCUGGAUGGACAAAAUUAUGUAUAAAAUUUAAGAACUGAUAUGUUCACAUAGAUACACUGUUAUUUCCAGUAAUGUAAAGUAGGUAUAUUUGGACGUAUUUUGAAAAGUAUUUCUUUUUCUUUUAAUGGAUGAUAUUAGUAAACCUACCUCCUGAGUAGCUAGGUGGGUGCCACUGCGCCUCGCUCCCUAGUCCUUUUUAUAUUUUAUUUUGAGACAGGAUCUCACCCAGGCUGUCUUCAAACUUAACAAUCCGCCUGCCUCGGCUUUCUGAGAACCUGGAAUUAUAUAUGUGUGCUAUUGAACCUUACUAGCAAUUAUUUUUUUAGCCCAGCGUGUUUGAAUACUGGAAAAAGUAACCUGUUGUCUAGGUUAGCAUUUUAAUCUGAUCUCUAGAAACUAGAAUUUAUUUUACUCAUUAUUAAUUUUUAAAAUUGGACUUAAUUAGAUAUUUGAACAUUUACAUGAAAUCAGAAAGAAUCUGUGCUUAUAAGAUAUUUUCUUUAUUUACGGUCUAAAACAUUCUGCUUAAACUGGUUAUGGUGGUGCACACCUGUAAUCCCAGAGACUUGGGAGGCUGAGAUAGGAAGAUCACAAGUUUGAGGCCAACCUGGGUAACUUAGUGGACCCUGUAUCAUAAUAAAAAAUUGGGUUGAGGAUGUAGCUCAGUGAAAAACACCCCUGGGUUUAAUCCUCAGCAUUGCAAAACAAAACCAAAACCCAUUUUUGCUAUGUGCACAUAUGUCUGUAUAAUAAAUGCCAAAAUAGAAGUAAUUUUAAAUUUUAAUAGAAAAUGUGAAUAGUAAGCCUCUUUUAAAAUGCCCACCUUAAUCUUUGACCUGUGUGGGAGUGUCCCUGA